rnacentral:piRNA from 1 species
UGCUUGUGCCUUCUGGACCUUGAUCCUGUU